rnacentral:rRNA from 1 species
UACGGAGGGGGCUAGCGUUGUUCGGAAUUACUGGGCGUAAAGCGCACGUAGGCGGCGAUUUAAGUCAGAGGUGAAAGCCCGGGGCUCAACCCUGGAACUGCCUUUGAGACUGGAUUGCUAGAAUCUUGGAGAGGCGAGUGGAAUUCCGAGUGUAGAGGUGAAAUUCGUAGAUAUUCGGAAGAACACCAGUGGCGAAGGCGGCUCGCUGGACAAGUAUUGACGCUGAGGUGCGAAAGCGUGGGGAGCAAACAGG